UAGGGAAUCUUCGGCAAUGGGGGGAACCCUGACCGAGCAACGCCGCGUGAGUGAAGAAGGUUUUCGGAUCGUAAAGCUCUGUUGUUAAGGAAGAACGAGUGUGAGAAUGGAAAGUUCAUACUGUGACGGUACUUAACCAGAAAGGGACGGCUAACUACGUGCCAGCAGCCGCGGUAAUACGUAGGUCCCGAGCGUUGUCCGGAUUUAUUGGGCGUAAAGCGAGCGCGGGCGGUUAGUUAAGUCUGAAGUUAAAGGCAGUGGCUCAACCAUUGUAGGCUUUGGAAACUGUUUAACUUUAGUGCAGAAGGGGAGAGUGGAAUUCCAUGUUUAGCGGUGAAAUGCGUAGAUAUAUGGAGGAACACCGGUGGCGAAAGCGGCUCUCUGGUCUGUAACUGACGCUGAGGCUCGAAAGCGUGGGGAGCGAACAGG
rnacentral:rRNA from 1 species